GAUGAACGCUAGCGGGAGGCCUAACACAUGCAAGCCGAACGGGAUUGGGAGCUUGCUCCCAUGAGAGUGGCGCACGGGUGAGUAACGCGUAUGCAACCUGCCUUUAACAGAGGGAUAGCCCAUAGAAAUGUGGAUUAAUACCUCAUAGUUCUAUUGGAUCGCAUGAUUUGAUAGAUAAAGCUCCGGCGGUUAAAGAUGGGCAUGCGUGACAUUAGCUAGUUGGUGAGGUAACGGCUCACCAAGGCAACGAUGUCUAGGGGUUCUGAGAGGAUGAUCCCCCACACUGGUACUGAGACACGGACCAGACUCCUACGGGAGGCAGCAGUGAGGAAUAUUGGUCAAUGGGCGCAAGCCUGAACCAGCCAUCCCGCGUGCAGGAUGACGGCCCUAUGGGUUGUAAACUGCUUUUAUACACCAAGAAAAAUCCCGAUGUAUCGGGACCCGACGGUAGUGUAUGAAUAAGCAUCGGCUAACUCCGUGCCAGCAGCCGCCGUAAGAC
rnacentral:rRNA from 1 species